rnacentral:tRNA from 1 species
GCGGGCGUCGUAUAGUGGUAGUACGUCGGUCUCCAAAACCGUUGGCGUGGGUUCGAUUCCUGCCGCCCGUGCAA